GACAGAGGGGGCAAGCGUUGCUCGGAAUCACUGGGCGUAAAGGGCGCGUAGGCGGGAUGGCAAGUCGGUCGUGAAAUCUCUCGGCUCAACCGAGAAACGUCGGCCGAUACUGCCGUUCUUGAGGGAUGCAGAGGAGACUGGAAUUCCCGGUGUAGCGGUGAAAUGUGUAGAGAUCGGGAGGAACACCGGUGGCGAAGGCGGCGCUCUGGGCCGGUACUGACGCUGAGGAGCGAAAGCGUGGGGAGCAAACAGG
rnacentral:rRNA from 1 species